rnacentral:rRNA from 1 species
UUGGAGGGCAAGUCUGGUGCCAGCAGCCGCGGUAAUUCCAGCUCCAAUAGCGUAUAUUAAAGUUGUUGCAGUUAAAAAGCUCGUAGUUGAAUUUCGGGAUCAAAUUGUCGGUCGUGCCUCGGUACGCACUGGUAUUAUUGGUUCCUACCUUCUGAAGAACUGCGAUGUCAUUAAUUUGGUGUCGUGGGGAAUCAGGACUGUUACUUUGAAAAAAUUAGAGUGUUUAAAGCAGGCUUACGCUUGAAUACAUUAGCAUGGAAUAAUGAAAUAGGACGUUUGAUUCUAUUUUGUUGGUUUCUAGGAUUGACGUAAUGAUUAAUAGGGAUAGUUGGGGGCAUUAGUAUUCAAUUGUCAGAGGUGAAAUUCUUGGAUUUAUUGAAGACUAACUACUGCGAAAGCAUUUGCCAAGGAUGUUUUCAUUAAUCAAGAACGAAAGUUAGGGGAUCGAAGACGAUCAGAUACCGUCGUAGUCUUAACCAUAAACUAUGCCGACUAGGGAUCGGAUGAUGUUAAUUUUUUAAUGACUCAUUCGGCGCCUUACGGGAAAC